rnacentral:rRNA from 1 species
AAUACAUACCCUGGUAGUCCUGGCCUUAAACGAUGAAUGCUUGGUGUGGCGGGUAUCGAUCCCUGCCGUGCCGAAGUUAACGCGAUAAGCAUUCCGCCUGGGGAGUACGGUCGCAAGACUGAAACUCAAAGGAAUUGACGGGGGCCCGCACAAGCGGUGGAGCAUGUGGUUCAAUUCGACGCAACGCGAAGAACCUUACCUGGGCUCGAAAUGCAGAUGACCAUCGGCGAAAGUCGACUUCCGCAAGGACAUCUGUAUAGGUGCUGCAUGGCUGUCGUCAGCUCGUGUCGUGAGAUGUUGGGUUAAGUCCCGCAACGAGCGCAACCCUUGUUCUCUGUUGCCAUCAGGUCAAGCUGGGCACUCUGAGGAGACUGCCGGUGACAAACCGGAGGAAGGUGGGGAUGACGUCAGGUCAGCAUGGCCUUUAUGUCCAGGGCUACACACGUGCUACAAUGGCCGGUACAAAGCGCUGCAAGCCCGCGAGAGUGAGCCAAUCGCAUAAACG